GUCGCACCUGCCCAUUUGCCCCGCGCAGUGCCAGGUCAGUGACCGCAUUAGGCGUUAGGGGGCCGCCUGACGUCCAGCCAAGGAGACUCCAGUUCGAGACGCGGGAGGGGCUGUCCAGCGGUGAAAACAAGAUGGCACUUACCACUCAAGACCAGGAGCCAAACAGUGAUCUGGAAAGCAAGGUUCUUAUCUCACAGAGUCUAAGAAUGAAUCUCACAGACAAAGGAGGGGGAUCUGUGGAAUCAGAAAGCGAAGAAGAAGCAGAAGCAAGCCUGUCCCUCUGCCUCCCUCUGACACCCACUCGGAGGCAUUGCCAAUCCGUGUUGAUGCCACUUCUAAGUAAUCCGGUGCUAUCGCUUUUGUUGGUAAAUUACCUUCUAAUAGUACCGUCUUCUGGCUUCUCCAUCCCAGCUGCUAAAGAAUGAGACUUUACUAUUUCGGACAUCUCUAUGUGGAAUAAAUGUGGCUCUUUUCUUUCCCCUGGGAAACCAAGUUCUAUGGCUCUAUUCUCAGUAAUAAACAGU
rnacentral:lncRNA from 1 species